rnacentral:rRNA from 1 species
AUACGUAGGGUGCAAGCGUUAAUCGGAAUUACUGGGCGUAAAGCGUGCGCAGGCGGUUUUGUAAGACAGUGGUGAAAUCCCCGGGCUCAACCUGGGAACUGCCAAUGUGACUGCAAGGCUGGAGUGCGGCAGAGGGGGAUGGAACUCCGCGUGUAGCAGUGAAAUGCGUAGAUAUGCGGAGGAACACCGAUGGCGAAGGCAAUACCCUGGGCCUGAACUGACGCUCAUGCACGAAAGCGUUGGGAGCAAACAGGAUUAGAUACCCUGGUAGUCCACGCCGUAAACGAUGUCAACUGGUUGUUGGGGAUUUAUUUUCUCAGUAACGAAGCUAACGCGUGAAGUUGACCGCCCGGGGAGUACGGCCGCAAGGUUAAAACUCAAAGCAAUUGACGGGG